rnacentral:rRNA from 1 species
GAACGAACGCUGGCGGCAUGACCUAACACAUGCAAGUCGAACGAAGCCUUCGGGCUUAGUGGCGCACGGGUGCGUAACACGUGGGAAUCUGCCCUUCGGUUCGGAAUAACAGUUAGAAAUGACUGCUAAUACCCCGGAUGAUGACGUAAGUCCAAAGAUUUAUCGCCGAAGGAUGAGCCCGCGUAGGAUUAGGUAGUUGGUAGGGUAAUGGCCUACCAAGCCGACGAUCCUUAGCUGGUCUGAGAGGAUGAUCAGCCACACUGGGACUGAGACACGGCCCAGACUCCUACGGGAGGCAGCAGUGGGGAAUAUUGGACAAUGGGCGAAAGCCUGAUCCAGCAAUGCCGCGUGAGUGAUGAAGGCCUUAGGGUUGUAAAGCUCUUUUACCAGGGAUGAUAAUGACAGUACCUGGAGAAUAAGCUCCGGCUAACUCCGUG